rnacentral:sRNA from 1 species
GCCAGGCACUGUGGUGCAUGCCUGUAAUCCAAGCUGCUCAGGAGGCUGAGGCAGGAGGAUCAGAAGUUCAAAGACAGCCUCAGCAAAAGUGAGGCACCUCAAUGAGACCCUGUCUCUA